UACAGAGGGGGCAAGCGUUGUUCGGAAUUACUGGGCGUAAAGGGCGCGUAGGCGGCCUUCUAAGUCGAACGUGAAAGCCCCGGGCUCAACCUGGGAAUUGCGAUGGAGACUGCAAGGCUUGAAUCUGGCAGAGGGGGGUAGAAUUCCACGUGUAGCAGUGAAAUGCGUAGAGAUGUGGAGGAACACCGAUGGCGAAGGCAGCCCCCUGGGUCAAGAUUGACGCUCAUGCACGAAAGCGUGGGGAGCAAACAGG
rnacentral:rRNA from 1 species